UUUAAAUAGCCGCAGUAUUUUGACUGUGCGAAGGUAGCAUAAUCAUUUGUCUUUUAAUUGAAGGCUUGUAUGAAUGGUUGAAUGAGGGAAUAACUUUCUUUAUAUUAAAUAUUGAAUUUAAUUUUUAAGUUAAAAAGCUUAAAUUUUUUAAUGGGACGAGAAGACCCUAUAGAAUUUUAUAAUUAUUUAUUUUUUUUAUUUUGGUUAUUUUAUAUUUUAAAAUAAAUAAUUAUUUUGUUGGGGUGACAAUGGAAUUUUUUUAACUUCCAUAUUAUAUUAAUUGUAAAUUUGCAUAUUAAUGAUCCUUAAUUUAGGAUAAUUAGAUUAAUUUACCUUAGGGAUAACAGCGUUAUUUUUCUGGAGAGUUCUUAUUGAUAGAAGAGUUUGCGACCUCGAUGUUGGAUUAAAAUUAGAUUUAAGUGCAGAAGCUUAAU
rnacentral:rRNA from 1 species